AAAAGUUCAGGAUGCAGCUGCUUUCUCUUCUGAGUCUACUGAAAGUGCUCUCCAAGCAAUGUGGAAAUUCUCUCUGUAAUGACCACAGUGCGCUGAGCCAAGUGAGGGAUUCAGAAGUCAUCACUCUGGCAGGCACCGGCCUGUGCGCUUGUCCUCUGGUGAGGAGAGAAACUUUCCGUUGCGCUGCCCCUCCAGCCUCCUCAAGAGCAAGGAUGGGGAGGGCUUCCAGAGGCCAGCUCAUCAGCUCUGGUGCUGAAUCAGCCCAAGAAUUUUUAACUACAGGAGAAAAAUGGAUCACACUGGAGGACAUUCUCCUUGAAGAGAACUUCACCCUGGCCUAAUCAGAGAUGCAAAUUUCUGAGGACAAGAAAUGUUCUUGCUUGACAACAAAAUGAGACCCAAGCAUGAAACCAGCUUUGGGUCACUUAUUCCAAGUUGCUGGAACAAGUAUCUGUGAAAGAAAUCGAGCCCAUUUCAGUAGGAAUGGUCAGUUCUUAAAUUAGAAAGUGGCAAGGAUCUUACAGACCAUAUAAUCAUCUCUCGCAGUGUUCCUACGUCUAUGGCAGCAAGCAGAGCUUCGGAAGGUUUCCUGUCAUACUGACAAGCAAUUUGGGGAGUGUACAAACAAUGUCAAGACCAGGGUAAAGCCUUCCCAGCCCAGCCUGCGCAGGCAGAUGACAAAGGAAGAAUAGGCGUCUGUCGGCCCAAGCAACGACUUCGUGUGUCUCCUCAGAAAAGCAUCUGUGAUUGGAAUUUGCCAACAGUUCCACCAAACCACGCUGGACCAGCACAUCAGGGAGAAAGGGAAGAAUGAUUCAAGUUGGAUCUACUUUCCAUAUUUGUGAGUCUCCUGGCAGAUGCAAAUGAAUAACUACUUACAACUGCCAAAAAGAACGUCACUUCUCUAGGGAUGCUGCGGACCAUACAGGUGACUUUUCUGUCCUUACCCUGUCAGAGAGAGGAAUCAGAAUUUUCUAUUUUUCCACAGCAAGGGGAUCUCAAAACCUGUAAUUACAAAAAUAUAUAAAAACAUAUAAUCCAGCACAUUUGUUUGAAUAAUACAGUCCUUUAAUUACAGAUAUACCAUAAUUCUUAAUUUUUUGAGAAAAUGUGAUUACUGCCAUUUCUUCAUUAGACUACAGUUUCACUGUUUAAGAAAAUUUUAUUUUAAAGGCAUGGUAUUAUCCACUUACUCCACAUUGAUAAAAACCCCAACAAAGCAUAAGCAAACACUUGAAUGCUCUCUUCCUAGCAACCAAGGUCCUUCAUCAGAAAAGCAGCAUAUCUGUUUUUUUCUGUACCUUGUAUUAAGCCAAAUUUCUAGUUCGCAACCCUUCCACCAUUCAAUAACCAUCAAAUUCCCAGAAUAUCAUUUUAGGUGAAAGUCUGAGCCAGUGACUAAGCCACCACUGUUCAUUUUCUAAAAGAAAUUGAAUUUUGUUUUCAAAAACACCACAUGAGAAACAUGAGCGCCCUCAGCUUUAAUAUUACAGCAAACCCAUCUAUCAAGCCGUCAAGAACAACUUUGGGCCAAAAUUCUGCAUUGGAUACAUCUAAGUCCCUAUUUGAAUAUCUGUGUUACCACUACUUACUUGUAAUACUACGGCCAAGGGGCCAGAUUUGCAGAAUUUUGUUUAUCCUUCACUUCCACUGGCAGAAAUACAAAAAGAUUAAUAUUAGGCACUAAGCCUCUUCACGUUUACUAACUUGCUCUGCAACUUAACUCUUCAAAUUACUGGCAACAUUUUAAAAAGUGCUGAGCUUCUGCAGUUCCCACUACAGUGAGCAGGAAAUACAGAUUACUCGGUACUCCCUUGGGAUUUACCUCUAUCUUUACAGGCUGAUAUACCUGUACUGUUUCUACUGCAGAAACAGUUAUUUUGGAUCUCUUAUUAUCUCUGUGGGAUGCCAGGAACUCCCCAAAAGCCCCAAAGCACAAAGAAAUGUAAUGUUAAAUAACAAUGAGUGAGCAGUGGUAGUUAAACAAAAAUAAUGGCAGUUUUGAAGUUUUUUCAACAAACCCUUUCUUCAGUGACAUACCUCCUCUUUUCUCCCAGAAGAAAAUACUGAAACUAACAGAAUCUUCUCCUUCUCUACAUCCUUCAUUUUCUUAUGUAAGGUUAUUUUCCCCUUUCUUUCUUUUCUUAUGUGAAGGAGACCUAUGGUCUUGCUACUGACUCUUCAAGAAAAGGAGAGCAGCAACUGGGGAAUCAGUCUUCUGUGGAAAAGAGGAAAAAUAGGAAGUAAGAGGAUGUGUCCUUCUGGACACUCGUCGUGUGGUCAAGAAGCCAGCUUUCCCCACUUUUCCCAAAAGUCUUCAGGUGAAUGUCCAGAGAAGUACAUUUUCUCCCCAGCCAUUCUUGCCAACAUCAGGGUAUACUGCAGCAUUCAAGACUGCUGGUGCCAUGUCAUUUCAGAGCCUCCAACAUCAGCUUAGUAUAUUAAAUAAUGCUGUUCCCAAGGAAGGAGAAAUAUCUGCAAGUGGAAUGGCACAGAAUAAUAGCGAGACAUGAGGAGUAGACACACACCUAAGUAUUAAAUGCUUGGGAGGAGUGGGCAGCAUUGGAGUGAUUCUUACUUCUGUGCCAAAUGUGCUUCAUCACAUGUAAGUCCCAUCAGAUUAUUUGUCUGUUUACCAUCGCUUAACAUUUUCAUAGCUUAUUUUAGUAUUUUUGCAGUUAGUAUUAAUGCAUUUGCAUCUAGUAUUUUGCAUUUUGUUUCAACUUUAAUAAAUUAUUUAUGAGUUUAGGAUUACUAACA
rnacentral:lncRNA from 1 species